rnacentral:tRNA from 1 species
CGGGUUAUCGUCUAAUGGUUAGGACAUCAGACUUUCAAUUUGAGAAUGUAGGUUCGAUUCCUUCUAACCCGA